rnacentral:rRNA from 1 species
UGGGGAAUAUUGGACAAUGGGCGAAAGCCUGAUCCAGCCAUGCCGCGUGUGUGAAGAAGGUCUUCGGAUUGUAAAGCACUUUAAGUUGGGAGGAAGGGCAGUAAGCGAAUACCUUGCUGUUUUGACGUUACCGACAGAAUAAGCACCGGCUAACUCUGUGCCAGCAGCCGCGGUAAUACAGAGGGUGCAAGCGUUAAUCGGAAUUACUGGGCGUAAAGCGCGCGUAGGUGGUUCGUUAAGUUGAAUGUGAAAGCCCCGGGCUCAACCUGGGAACUGCAGCCAAAACUGGCGAGCUAGAGUAGGGCAGAGGGUGGUGGAAUUUCCUGUGUAGCGGUGAAAUGCGUAGAUAUAGGAAGGAACACCAGUGGCGAAGGCGACAACCUGGGCUCAUACUGACACUGAGGUGCGAAAGCGUGGGGAGCAAACAGG